GACGAACGCUGGCGGCGUGCUUAACACAUGCAAGUCGAGCGGUAAGGCCCUUUCGGGGGUACACGAGCGGCGAACGGGUGAGUAACACGUGGGUGACCUGCCCUCAGCUCUGGGAUAAGCCCGGGAAACUGGGUCUAAUACUGGAUAUGACUCCACGGUGCAUGCCGUGGGGUGGAAAGCCUUGUGCGGCUGAGGAUGGGCCCGCGGCCUAUCAGCUUGUUGGUGGGGUGAUGGCCUACCAAGGCGACGACGGGUAGCCGGCCUGAGAGGGCGACCGGCCACACUGGGACUGAGACACGGCCCAGACUCCUACGGGAGGCAGCAGUGGGGGAUCUUGCGCAAUGGGCGAAAGCCUGACGCAGCGACGCCGCGUGAGGGAUGACGGCCU
rnacentral:rRNA from 1 species